UGGAUCCAGACUUUGAUCCUGGCUCAGGAUGAACGCUAGCUACAGGCUUAACACAUGCAAGUCGAGGGGCAGCAUUUCAGUUUGCUUGCAAACUGGAGAUGGCGACCGGCGCACGGGUGAGUAACACGUAUCCAACCUGCCGAUAACUCGGGGAUAGCCUUUCGAAAGAAAGAUUAAUACCCGAUAGUAUAAUGAAACCGCAUGGUCUUAUUAUUAAAGAAUUUCGGUUAUCGAUGGGGAUGCGUUCCAUUAGGCAGUUGGUGAGGUAACGGCUCACCAAACCUUCGAUGGAUAGGGGUUCUGAGAGGAAGGUCCCCCACAUUGGAACUGAGACACGGUCCAAACUCCUACGGGAGGCAGCAGUGAGGAAUAUUGGUCAAUGGGCGCAGGCCUGAACCAGCCAAGUAGCGUGAAGGAUGACUGCCCUAUGGGUUGUAAACUUCUUUUAUAUGGGAAUAAAGUUUUCCACGUGUGGAAUUUUGUAUGUACCAUAUGAAUAAGGAUCGGCUAACUCCGUGCCAGCAGCCGCGGUAAUACGGAGGAUCCGAGCGUUAUCCGGAUUUAUUGGGUUUAAAGGGAGCGUAGGUGGACAGUUAAGUCAGUUGUGAAAGUUUGCGGCUCAACCGUAAAAUUGCAGUUGAUACUGGCUGUCUUGAGUACAGUAGAGGUGGGCGGAAUUCGUGGUGUAGCGGUGAAAUGCUUAGAUAUCACGAAGAACUCCGAUUGCGAAGGCAGCUCACUGGACUGCAACUGACACUGAUGCUCGAAAGUGUGGGUAUCAAACAGGAUUAGAUACCCUGGUAGUCCACACAGUAAACGAUGAAUACUCGCUGUUUGCGAUAUACAGUAAGCGGCCAAGCGAAAGCAUUAAGUAUUCCACCUGGGGAGUACGCCGGCAACGGUGCAACUCAAAUGAAUUGACGGA
rnacentral:rRNA from 1 species